UCGAUCUAGAACAGAAAGCAACGUCCUCUUGAGUUUUGGGCGAUUUUAAGCGAAAUUCGUAAUGUGAAAAGGGCGUUUUUUGAUGUCAUUGUUGUGAAAUGAAUUCCCAUUCCGUUAAUAAAUGGUCUUGUUUGGAUUUCAAAAUAUAGACGAGAGCUAACAAAUGUCAUGCAUUUUCAGGUGCCUAUUUGAAUUUCCAAGAGAAAUCUCCAAUUAGAAGUUGUUCCUUGGAUUCCAGUGAGCAGAAGGUGCAUCUACGUAAAAUGCUGCGAUCGAUGAUACAAAUAAUCUGUUUGAAAGCAAUUUACUUUCAUUGAAGACUGAAGUUGAAUAUCAGCAGAGUUUUCGCGAACGUAUUUCAAUACCUACCUACUUAUGCUGUUGAACAAUGCCUAUUUACUAUUUUUGGGCAUAAAAAAUUCAAUAUUAAUACCUCAAGUCUCCGGACCACAAAUUCAAUUCAAAUUAAUUUUGAAUCAAGAAUAAUAAGAAAAUGAUUUAUUCAACAAUUCAGG